GAUGAACGCUGGCGGCGUGCUUAACACAUGCGAGUCGAACGGAAAGGCUCCUGCUUGCAGGGGUACUCGAGUGGCGAACGGGUGAGUAACACGUGGGUGAUCUGCCCUGCACUUCGGGAUAAGCCUGGGAAACUGGGUCUAAUACCGGAUAGGACGAUGGUCUGGAUGCCAGUGUGGAGAGUUUUUCGGUGUGGGAUGAGCUCGCGGCCUAUCAGCUUGUUGGUGGGGUAAUGGCCUACCAAGGCGUCGACGGGUAGCCGGCCUGAGAGGGUGUACGGCCACAUUGGGACUGAGAUACGGCCCAGACUCCUACGGGAGGCAGCAGUGGGGAAUAUUGCACAAUGGGCGGAAGCCUGAUGCAGCGACGCCGCGUGGGGGAUGACGGCCUUCGGGUUGUAAACUCCUUUCGCUAGGGACGAAGCGCAAGUGACGGUACCUGGAGAAGAAGCACCGGCUAACUACGUG
rnacentral:rRNA from 1 species